CAUCAGCAUUUUCGCGUAGUUCUCCUAACGCUGAGCUCUCAUUCGCUCCACGACAAAUUUAUCUUUUUCAAUUGGUUAUCUGUUGAAGUUAUUUAAUGCGAUUUGUCGCCAUUUGAUUAAAAUUUUUUUAUAAAUACAUAAAAUUCUCACGUGUUUUUCAGUGUACUCUCUUUUAACGAGCAGAGAAUAAAUCGUUAUCGCUCGGAAGUAUUUCACCAUAUUGAUCGACAAGAGGCAAAAUGUUUUUGGCGCGCUGCUCCGCCGUUUCGCGACAGCUUGCGAAUCAUGCCGGCAAGAUCGGUGCGUGUCGCGGAUCGAGCUACUGCAAAAUCGACGAAAGUAUCUUCGGGCUUAGCGAUGAACAGAAAGAGCUUCGUUCGCUCGUUUUCAAUUUUGCACAAAAGGAGCUAGCACCUAAGGCCGCUGAGAUUGACAAGAAAAAUACUUUCAAUGAGUUAAGGACGUUUUGGAGGGAGUUGGGUAAACUGGGCUUAUUGGGUCCGACGGUGAAAUCAGAGUAUGGUGGCACGGGCGGCACAUAUCUCGAUCAUAUAGUUAUCAUGGAGGAAUUAAGCAGAGCAUCGGCUGCCAUUGGGCUCAGCUACGGUGCACAUUCGAAUCUUUGCGUCAAUCAAAUCCACCGAAAUGGCACGGAGAAACAGAAGCACAAAUAUUUGCCUAAGCUGUGUAGUGGCGAACACAUCGGUGCGCUGGCGAUGUCGGAGCCCGGCUCUGGAUCCGACGUCGUCUCCAUGAAGCUGCGGGCCGAGAAGAAGGGCGAUCACUAUGUGUUAAAUGGCAACAAGUUCUGGAUUACCAACGGUCCGGACGCCGACGUGAUAGUCGUCUAUGCGAGAACGGAUCCGAAAACGGAUAAGCCGCAACACGGUAUUACUGCCUUCAUCGUUGAGCGUGGUACAGAAGGCUUCAGUACAGCGCAGAAACUAGAUAAGCUUGGAAUGCGUGGCUCCAACACGGGCGAACUGAUUUUCGAGGACUGUAAAGUGCCAGUUGCUAAUAUUUUGGGAGAAGUUAACAAAGGCAUUUAUGUGCUCUUUAGUGGACUGGAUUUGGAACGGUUGGUAUUAGCCGGUGGACCUAUGGGAAUUUUGCAAGCUUGUUGUGACGUUGCCUUUGAAUAUGCUCAUACAAGACAACAAUUCGGUCAAUAUCUUGCGCAAUUCCAAUUGCUACAGGGAAAGAUAGCGGACAUGUACACGGCUCUGAGCUCGAGCAGGAGUUACUUAUAUUCUGUCGCGAGGGCCUGCGACUCCGGUCACCUAAAUCGCAAAGAUUGUGCCGCGGUGCUUCUUUAUUGCGCCGAGAGCGCAAUGAAAGCAUCGUCAGACGCCAUACAAAUACUUGGUGGCAACGGAUACAUCAACGAUUAUGUGACGGGGAGAUUGCUGCGAGACGCGAAGCUUUACGAGAUCGGCGGAGGCACCAAUGAAAUACGACGUAUAGUCAUCAGCCGAGCGAUCACAGACGAAUAUUUAUAAAACGGCGAGUUUUUUGCCUCGAUCUAUGAUCAUCUUUGCGACAGGCAAAUUUGUGGAUUUGAUUCAAAAUGUUUACCCGCAAUACGUGGCCAACCGAUGAUUCACUAUCGUCGACCGCCAAUGUUGAGCAUAUCACAUAUUGGCGAUUUGCAUUAAUGAUCGUAUAAAUUAAGUGCAGCCAAACUAAUUGCAUCGAAUCGGCCCCGCAUAGGGGAGAAGUUUCUCGCCGCCCGUGAACGUCGCACGGCGGAAGAAGCGUGUCUCAUCCGGGGAAAGCAACGCGCGAUCGGUCAGGUUUUCACGAAUACAAGGAUGGCUCUCAAGUUCUCCAUAGCCCACUUUUACGAGACCUAUGUAAGUACGAAGGGUACGCGACCCGGAAGAAGUCUCUUCGACCUUCCUCCCGAUUUAUAGUUCGAUCAUCUGUCUGCCGGAACAAUCUUCAUCGACUUCCGAUGGCUUUCUCAAUGAGAUCUGGAAGAUUCCUCGAUGGAAUUGUUUUUUCUUUUGUGGAAAUGUUUAGGCUUAUUAGUAGAAGCUAUAUUGAAAUGAUUUAUUAGCUUAUCUCGCGAUUAAAUAAGUCGGGGAUAAUAAUUUGAAAAAUAUUUGAUAAGUAUAGCGAUUUCGAAUUUUGAAAAUAUGAAUAGGUAUCCAAAUAUAUUUUUCUAUGAAUUACAAGUAGAAAAAGAAGUGGUUAACUUGACUAAAUUUUUCAACUUGAUUAAAUUUCUUCAGUUCAAGCAUUUAUGUAUUUAACUUAAAACUUCAGUUUAAGCAUUUAUAUAUUUAACUCAAAAUUUAGUUGAGCUAACAAUUUUUUUCUCAGCAUAAUUUUGUUUUUAUUUGACAUCAGAACAAUAAAUGAAUACGCUCUUCUGAAAUAAACUCGAUAUACAAAACUUGCGAAUGAAGAAAUUGUUAUUGGGAUAUUCGUUGAAAACAUCUCGUAGCUUCCUCUAUAGUGAAUCCUGGAUCAUAUACAAGUCUGUUCCAUUUACAAUGGAUUACUUAUGAAACACAUAUCGAAAUGUGUUUUCCAAUGUGAACUGCAUCAAUAAAGUUGUGUUGUGCAUGAAU